GGGAAAGUGGCUCAGUGGCAGAGCACUUGCCUUGCAUGCAUGAGGCCCUGGGUUCGAUUCCUCAGCACCA
rnacentral:tRNA from 1 species